rnacentral:pre_miRNA from 1 species
UAAAUACUCCCUCCGUCCGAAAAUACUUGUCAUCAAAAUGGACAAAAAGAGAUGUAUCUAAAACUAAAAUACGUCUAGAUACAUUUCCUUUUAUCCAUUUUGAUGACAAGUAUUUCCGGAUGGAGGGAGUAUUUG